rnacentral:rRNA from 1 species
AUUGAACGCUGGCGGCAUGCUUUACACAUGCAAGUCGAACGGUAACAGGCCGCAAGGUGCUGACGAGUGGCGAACGGGUGAGUAAUGCAUCGGAACGUGCCCAGUCGUGGGGGAUAACGUAGCGAAAGCUGCGCUAAUACCGCAUACGAUCUAUGGAUGAAAGCGGGGGUCCGUAAGGCCUCGCGCGAUUGGAGCGGCCGAUGUCAGAUUAGGUAGUUGGUGGGGUAAAGGCUCACCAAGCCAACGAUCUGUAGCUGGUCUGAGAGGACGACCAGCCACACGGGGAAUGAGACACGGCCCGGACUCCUACGGGAGGCAGCAGUGGGGAAUUUUGGACAAUGGGCGCAAGCCUGAUCCAGCAAUGCCGCGUGCAGGAAGAAGGCCUUCGGGUUGUAAACUGCUUUUGUACGGAACGAAAAGGCUCUGGUUAAUACCUGGGGCUCAUGACGGUACCGUAAGAAUAAGCACCGGCUAACUACGUGCCAGCAGCCGCCGUAAUAC